UACGUAGGUGGCAAGCGUUAUCCGGAUUUAUUGGGUGUAAAGGGAACGCAGGCGGUCUUUUAAGUCUGAUGUGAAAGCCUUCGGCUUAACCGGAGUAGUGCAUUGGAAACUGGGAGACUUGAGUGCAGAAGAGGAGAGUGGAACUCCAUGUGUAGCGGUGAAAUGCGUAGAUAUAUGGAAGAACACCAGUGGCGAAAGCGGCUCUCUGGUCUGUAACUGACGCUGAGGUUCGAAAGCGUGGGUAGCAAACAGG
rnacentral:rRNA from 1 species